GAUGAACGCUGGCGGCGUGCCUAACACAUGCAAGUCGAACGGAGAUUACGGACGGAAGUUUUCGGAUGGAAGACUGUAAUUCUUAGUGGCGGACGGGUGAGUAACGCGUGGGCAACCUGCCCUAUACAGGGGGAUAGCAGCUGGAAACGGCUGGUAAGACCGCAUAAGUCGGUUAAAUCGCAUGAUUUGAUCGGGAAAUGAGCAAUCAGGUAUAGGAUGGGCCCGCGUCCGAUUAGCCAGUUGGCAGGGUAAAAGCCUACCAAAGCGACGAUCGGUAGCCGGACGGAGAGGUGGGACGGCCACAUUGGGACUGAGACACGGCCCAAACUACUACGGGAGGCAGCAGUGGGGGAUAUUGCACAAUGGAGGAAACUCUGAUGCAGCGACGCCGCGUGAGUGAAGAAGUAUUUCGGUAUGUAAAGCUCUAUCAGCAGGGAAGAUGAUGACGGUACCUGACGAAGAAGCCCCGGCUAACUACGUG
rnacentral:rRNA from 1 species